AUUAUGUCGAAGACAGCAACGUCUGCUCCAGCUUCCGCGAGGCCCUCAGCAAAGGAUAGACCGCAGCCUCGUGCACCACCUGUUACCAGAGCCGUACGACCUUUAAGGGAGAACUGGAUUAAUUAUUUUGAAUUACAUUAGUUAGGCAUGGUAGUGUCUUUACGGAUGAGGUGGCACGGCUGGUGAAGGGGAAUUCAGGAAAUUGGUGGGGUCUUACUCUAGACAUAAUUGAGGUGGUUGAAGCAGAAACGGCAGCGGAAGAACAGCGAUUGUAUAAGAUUAAGGUGCAAACAGGUGUGGUUUUUGCUGUCUGUUGUCCGGCACAGUGAUAACUACUAAGUUACUAGUAUCCAGAAGUAUUCAAAGACCGGGAAGCUAGCUGCCCCUCGUCGUGCCGUCAUCAA
rnacentral:sRNA from 2 species